rnacentral:rRNA from 1 species
UACGAAGGGGGCUAGCGUUGUUCGGAAUUACUGGGCGUAAAGCGCACGUAGGCGGACUAUUAAGUCAGGGGUGAAAUCCCGGGGCUCAACCCCGGAACUGCCUUUGAUACUGGUAGUCUCGAGUCCGGAAGAGGUGAGUGGAAUUCCGAGUGUAGAGGUGAAAUUCGUAGAUAUUCGGAGGAACACCAGUGGCGAAGGCGGCUCGCUGGUCCGGUACUGACGCUGAGGUGCGAAAGCGUGGGGAGCAAACAGG